UUAUCAGACUUGUUACAAGGUUGUUCUAACAAGUCUGAUACAAUCAUGAUAUAACAAGAAUGUCGCAAGGUUGACGACACAAGGUUGUAACAAUACUGUUAUAUCAUAACUGUAUCAGACUUGUUGGAACAACCUUGUAAAAAGUCUGAUAA